AUACGGAGGGUGCAAGCGUUAUUCGGAAUCACUGGGCGUAAAGGACGCGUAGGCGGGUUGGCAAGUCAGAUGUGAAAUCCUACAGCUUAACUGUAGAACUGUAUUUGAAACUGCUAACCUAGAGUAUGGGAGGGGGAGAUGGAAUUAGUGGUGUAGGGGUAAAAUCCGUAGAUAUCACUAGGAAUACCGAAAGCGAAGGCGAUCUCCUGGAACAUAACUGGCGCUAAGGCGUGAAAGCGUGGGGAGCAAACAGGAUUAGAAACCCUAGUAGUCC
rnacentral:rRNA from 1 species